rnacentral:rRNA from 1 species
GUACACUCCUGCGGGAGGCAGCAGUGGGGAAUAUUGCACAAUGGGCGCAAGCCUGAUGCAGCCAUGCCGCGUGUAUGAAGAAGGCCUUCGGGUUGUAAAGUACUUUCAGCGGGGAGGAAGGCGAUAAGGUUAAUAACCUUGUUGAUUGACGUUACCCGCAGAAGAAGCACCGGCUAACUCCGUGCCAGCAGCCGCGGUAAUACGGAGGGUGCAAGCGUUAAUCGGAAUUACUGGGCGUAAAGCGCACGCAGGCGGUCUGUCAAGUCGGAUGUGAAAUCCCCGGGCUCAACCUGGGAACUGCAUUCGAAACUGGCAGGCUAGAGUCUUGUAGAGGGGGGUAGAAUUCCAGGUGUAGCGGUGAAAUGCGUAGAGAUCUGGAGGAAUACCGGUGGCGAAGGCGGCCCCCUGGACAAAGACCGACGCUCAGGUGCGAAAGCGUGGGGAGCAAACAGGAUUAGAUACCCUUGUAGUCCCAUG